GACGGAGGGUGCUAGCGUUGUUCGGAAUCACUGGGCGUAAAGGGCGCGUAGGCGGCGGUUCAAGUCGGAUGUGAAAGCCCGGGGCUCAACUCCGGAGGUGCAUCCGAGACUGAUCUGCUGGAGGCCGGAAGAGGAGGGUGGAAUACCCAGUGUAGAGGUGAAAUUCGUAGAUAUUGGGUGGAACACCGGUGGCGAAAGCGGCUCUCUGGUCCGGACCUGACGCUGAGGCGCGAAAGCGUGGGGAGCAAACAGG
rnacentral:rRNA from 1 species